AUGAACGCUAGCUACAGGCUUAACACGUGCAAGUCGAGGGGCAUCAGGAAGAAAGCUUGCUUUCUUUGCUGGCGACCGGCGCACGGGUGAGUAACACGUAUCCAACCUGCCCUUUACUCGGGGAUAGCCUUUCGAAAGAAAGAUUAAUACCCGAUAGCAUAAUGAUUCCGCAUGGUUUCAUUAUUAAAGGAUUCCGGUAAAGGAUGGGGAUGCGUUCCAUUAGGUUGUUGGUGAGGUAACGGCUCACCAAGCCUUCGAUGGAUAGGGGUUCUGAGAGGAAGGUCCCCCACAUUGGAACUGAGACACGGUCCAAACUCCUACGGGAGGCAGCAGUGAGGAAUAUUGGUCAAUGGGCGCUAGCCUGAACCAGCCAAGUAGCGUGAAGGAUGAAGGCUCUAUGGGUCGUAAACUUCUUUUAUAUAAGAAUAAAGUGCAGUAUGUAUACUGUUUUGUAUGUAUUAUAUGAAUAAGGAUCGGCUAACUCCGUGCCAGCAGCCGCGGUAAUACGGAGGAUCCGAGCGUUAUCCGGAUUUAUUGGGUUUAAAGGGAGCGUAGGUGGACUGGUAAGUCAGUUGUGAAAGUUUGCGGCUCAACCAUAAAAUUGCAGUUGAUACUGUCAGUCUUGAGUACAGUAGAGGUGGGCGGAAUUCGUGGUGUAGCGGUGAAAUGCUUAGAUAUCACGAAGAACUCCGAUUGCGAAGGCAGCUCACUGGACUGCAACUGACACUGAUGCUCGAAAGUGUGGGUAUCAAACAGGAUUAGAUACCCUGGUAGUCCACACAGUAAACGAUGAAUACUCGCUGUUUGCGAUAUACAGUAAGCGGCCAAGCGAAAGCAUUAAGUAUUCCACCUGGGGAGUACGCCGGCAACGGUGAAACUCAAAGGAAUUGACGGGGGCCCGCACAAGCGGAGGAACAUGUGGUUUAAUUCGAUGAUACGCGAGGAACCUUACCCGGGCUUAAAUUGCAGUGGAAUGAUGUGGAAACAUGUCAGUGAGCAAUCACCGCUGUGAAGGUGCUGCAUGGUUGUCGUCAGCUCGUGCCGUGAGGUGUCGGCUUAAGUGCCAUAACGAGCGCAACCCUUAUCUUCAGUUACUAACAGGUCAUGCUGAGGACUCUGGAGAGACUGCCGUCGUAAGAUGUGAGGAAGGUGGGGAUGACGUCAAAUCAGCACGGCCCUUACGUCCGGGGCUACACACGUGUUACAAUGGGGGGUACAGAAGGCAGCUAGCGGGUGACCGUAUGCUAAUCCCAAAAUCCUCUCUCAGUUCGGAUCGAAGUCUGCAACCCGACUUCGUGAAGCUGGAUUCGCUAGUAAUCGCGCAUCAGCCACGGCGCGGUGAAUACGUUCCCGGGCCUUGUACACACCGCCCGUCAAGCCAUGGGAGCCGGGGGUACCUGAAGUACGUAACCGCAAGGAUCGUCCUAGGGUAAAACUGGUGACUGGGGCU
rnacentral:rRNA from 1 species